AUUGAAUGCUGGCGGCAGGCCUAACACAUGCAAGUCGGACGGUAGCACAGAGAGCUUGCUCUUGGGUGACGAGUGGCGGACGGGUGAGUAAUGUCUGGGGAUCUGCCCGAUAGAGGGGGAUAACCACUGGAAACGGUGGCUAAUACCGCAUAACGUCGCAAGACCAAAGAGGGGGACCUUCGGGCCUCUCACUAUCGGAUGAACCCAGAUGGGAUUAGCUAGUAGGCGGGGUAAUGGCCCACCUAGGCGACGAUCCCUAGCUGGUCUGAGAGGAUGACCAACCACACUGGAACUGAGACACGGUCCAGACUCCUACGGGAGGCAGCAGUGGGGAAUAUUGCACAAUGGGCGCAAGCCUGAUGCAGCCAUGCCGCGUGUAUGAAGAAGGCCUUCGGGUUGUAAAGUACUUUCAGCGGGGAGGAAGGCGGCAAGGUUAAUAACCUUGCCGAUUGACGUUACCCGCAGAAGAAGCACCGGCUAACUCCGUGCCAGCCGCCGCCGUAA
rnacentral:rRNA from 1 species